rnacentral:misc_RNA from 1 species
GUUGAAAUGAUGAUUUUAGGGAAGUUUGCUCUGCUUAAUUAUGAUGAACCCUUCGGGGUGGCCCAGUGGUUUGAGUUUGGAUUUUCCAUGCGGGAGGUCUCAAGUUCGAAACUCCUUGCCAGGGAAAGCAAGGGGUUUGCCUUUUGGGUCGAGCUUGUCGCUCCAGGCUUGUCUAGUGCGGUUACCUCUCCUAUGUGGUUACCUCUCCUAUGUGGUUUGC